GACGAACGCUGGCGGCGUGCCUAAUACAUGCAAGUCGAACGCAUUUUCUUUCACCGUAGCUUGCUACACCGAAAGAAAAUGAGUGGCGAACGGGUGAGUAACACGUGGGCAACCUGCCCAUCAGCGUGGGAUAACACUUGGAAACAGGUGCUAAUACCGCAUAAUUCCAUUUACCGCAUGGUAGAGGGGUGAAAGGCGCUUUUGCGUCACUGAUGGAUGGACCCGCGGUGCAUUAGCUAGUUGGUGGGGUAACGGCCUACCAAGGCUGCGAUGCAUAGCCGACCUGAGAGGGUGAUCGGCCACACUGGGACUGAGAAACGGCCCAGAAUCCUACGGGGGGCAGCAGUAGGGGAUCUUCGGCAAUGGACGCAAGGCUGACCGAGCAACGCCGCGUGAGUGAAGAAGGUUUUCGGAUCGUAAAACUCUGUUGUUAGAGAAGAACAAGGAUGGGAGUGGAAAGUUCAUCCCUUGACGGUAUCUAACCAGAAAGCCACGGCUAACUACGUG
rnacentral:rRNA from 1 species